rnacentral:tRNA from 1 species
UGGGGGAUCGUCUAGCGGUAGGACACUGGACUCUGGCUCCAGGCACGAGGGUUCGAAUCCUUCUCCCCCAACCA